UUAUUUUGUAAAUUUUUAAGGUAUUUUCUUAACUGCAUUGUUGGUUAGGGGCUUGUAAGUAAGCAUUUCACUAUAAGGUCUACAUCUGUUGUAUUCGGCGCAUGUGGCAAAUAAAAUAUGUACAUCAACAUUCAUAGCUUUAUACACAGAACAUGAAAAAACAAGCAAUGAUAUUUCACGCAAAUAUGAUGUGGAUAUGUCAUUGUCAAUAAAAUAAAGAAAUCACAUGUAGGCCUACAACUUCCAGUAACAGUGGUUUCCAUAUGAUAAAUUGAACAGCAGACUGUUUCCUUCUGUUGGGUGUACUAUCCUGAGGGCAGACUGUUUCCUUAUGUUGGCUGUGCCCUCCUGAGGGUAGACUGUUUCCUUCUGUUGGCUGUACUCUCCUGAGGGCAGACUGUUUCCUUCUGUUGGCUGUACUAUCCUGAGGGCAGACUGUUUCCUUCUGUUGGCUGUACUCUCCUGAGGGCAGACUGUUCAGUGUGAAGCAGCCUCCAGCGCUGGUGUUUGUUAUGGACUCCACAGGCAGCAUGUUUGAGGAGAUCACUACUGCUCGCCUCCGUUCCCACUUCAUUAUACAGACCCGCGCCAACACCCCCGAGCAGUCUGGCACCUUCCUGCUGGGGCCCUUCUAUGACCCAGGAUCCUGGCAUGUCUCCCCCAUCUUGCUCUACCAUGCGAGUAGAGCACACCUGCCCAGGCCAGAUGGACUGUCUCUCUGGCUGUCUCUCGGGCCUGGCUUCCCUCCAGCUCUCCCUGGGUCAGGGCAUUCAUACCCUGCUCCACGGCCCCACAGACCCACCCAGGGGACAGCCUAGAGGAGAACCAGCCCACCCCCAACCACAACCAGAGAGACAGGGAGCAGACAAGCCUAGCACAGGGGGAGAAUGGCCAUGCUGAACUGAGACCCAGGCUGGUACAAGGUAACCCUCCUCUGAACGUGGCCCAGUGGACAGGUGGAUUGCCCUGUGGGUGAGGUACGCCUCCCCCUGCUGUGAGACGGGACUGGCAAUGUGCGGCGCUGCCAUCUGACCUCCAGCCAGCAGAGGGGUAUGUGGGAGAGGAGUGGAGUGUUAAACAGGGCUGCAGAGAAGCCACUGCAAAGUUACUUCCUGUUUCCAUUGUUGUUGAGUUUGAUUUGGACUGUUCCACUGUAGGUUGAUGUGGGAACAUUUCUCUAUGUCAAAUAAGCUUUAAGAUGUUCUGUAACCAAAAGGCUUCUGUUUUUAUGGGCCACUUGAAGAAUACUUUAGACUUCAAUUCCUCACUUGAAAACACACUGUAACUGGAAACCCUACACUGGAAAACAGACAAUGAUUAAUUAAGUUGUGUUUUUUCAUUGUAUUUAAAUUAAUGAUGUGUUUUUUUUAACUUGAAUUUUCCAUGAAUGUAGUUCCUUCAGUCUGAACCAUGUUAAAAUCAAAUCGCAACGUAUUUAAAGUACAUUUAACAGUCAAAACACACUUCACAGAAGGAAAAACAAAACCGUUGAAAUAUAUCUCCUUCUCCAUGGAGUUACUUCCUGAUGUUAGCCACUCCUUCAAUGACAUACUCAAAUGUUUAUUUGUUGUUUAGAUUACAUCUUGCAGCUCGUAAAAUAAGAACAGGACAAACAAAAAAAUGUAACAUCAACCACAACAAAAGCAGCAGUUUUAACAUUUAUAAAUGACUUUAGGGUUGUAUAGAGCAUCAACCACAACAACAAAAGCAGCAGUUUUAACAUUUAUAAAUGACUUUAGGGUUGUAUAGAGCAUCAACCACAACAACAAAAGCAGCAAGUCUAACAUUUAUAAAUGACUUUAGGGUUGUAUAGAGCAUCAACCACAACAACAAAAGCAGCAGUUUUAACAUUUAUAAAUGACUUUAGGGUUGUAUAGAGCAUCAACCACAACAACAAAAGCAGCAAUUUUAACAUUUAUAAAUGACUUUAGGGUUGUAUAGAGCAUCAACCACAACAACAAAAGCAGCAAGUCUAACAUUUAUAAAUGACUUUAGGGUUGUAUAGAGCAUCAACCACAACAACAAAAGCAGCAAGUCUAACAUUUAUAAAUGACUUUAGGGUUGUAUAGAGCAUUAACCACAACAACAAAAGCAGCAAUUUUAACAUUUAUAAAUGACUUUAGGGUUGUAUAGAGCAUCAACCACAGCAACAAAAGCAGCAAUUUUAACAUUUAUAAAUGACUUUAGGGUUGUAUAGAGCAUCAACCACAACAACAAAAGCAGCAAGUCUAACAUUAUGUAAAUGACUUUCAGGUUGUAUAGAGCAUCAACCACAACAACAAAAGCAGCAAGUCUAACAUUAUGUAAAUGACUUUCAGGUUGUAUAGAGCAUCAACCACAAAAGCA